UGGAUACCUAAGCCAAUCAGAUAAUUAGAAAGCGAAACAAUGCAGACAAAGAAGAUAAAUUUGGCUAAAAUUGAUUGCACUAAAGGAGCCAAUCUUUCCUAUAUCGUGAUAAAGUAACAAAAAAUAUUGAAGUAGACUAUGUGCAUAUGGUAUUUGAUGAUAUGCCUUGUCCAUCUUAUAUUAUUGUGUGCUUACUCAUUCCUUUGAGCAUUUGCUUUCACUAUUCUGUUUCUCUUUUGACGAAGUUCUUCUUUUUUUAUGAGCUUCUUUAUUUACGCUUUUCUACGUCGAAUCUAAAAAAUGAUGAAUUUUUUUAUUGAAAUACUUUGUAUAUUUACUUUUCAUCGUUAUUGUUGUCUUUGAGACAAAUGUUUUCAUGUUAGUGAUUUAAAAUUUCUUCGGUCUCUUUGAAAGUGUACGUGGAAGGUGAUGCCUCCACUAAUAUCUACCUCCUAACUGAUGUUUGAUAGGAUGGAACAAGAGAAAGCUCCAAGAAAGACACCAAACCCAGCCUAUGGUCGUUUGUUCACAUAAACGUAUUAUAAAGAGGAAGUUGGAAAUAUGAGCGUCAAAGAGAAGUAAUCGACAAAAAGAUACUCUUUCAAGUAAGUCACGAUGAACUUUAAAACAAUUCUUUGUUCGUGAAAGCAAAAGGGGUACAGUAAUUUAUUAUGUUACUGUUGCCAUUUAGUAAUUGUGAUGGUGUGUUAAUGUGAAGCCUUUUUUCCCCGUUGUUAGAUUGUGAUGGUCCUAUUGAAGUUUAGGUACAUAGUAUAAGAUUUAUUCAACAAUCUCCCCUUGCACAACAGGAAAUCCUAAGAAGAAAGUUAAGAAAAGCAAAGGUCGUGGCUUCGGCCACCCUCGCUUCAGCCAAUCGUCAAGACAAAGCCAAGUUGAUUGCAUAUUUAAAUGAAAUGAAAGAAGUGAAAGUUAGGAUGUUUGUGGUGUUGAAUUAUAAUGCUUAAGGUUAAUUUGAUGGACCGGCGUUUUAGGAUAUCCAUAUGGAGAACAUCAAUUUGUCUUCGAUGGUUCUGUGAUACUUUCAUCUGGAAGGCACUAUGCAUGUCAAGUUUGAUGCUCUUUUUGUAUUUUAAAAAGGGACUCAUUCAUUUCUUUAUAGGAUGUUGCAUAUGUAUACCUUUUUAAUGCCUGGUACUCUAUAAUUACAGUAUCUCAUGGAUUGUGGAUUCUUUUCUUCUAAUACAUUUUUGAUGUGUUAUCUAAGUGAACUUCAUUAAUCCAAAUCAAAUACAUCUAACAUCAAUACCUGUGCACUUAGCAUUACUCAUACACACCGAAUGAUGUUUUUUCCCUUUUCUUCUUAUGUAGCACUUACAUUGUAGGUAGUAUUGUUGCCUAUAUUGCAACAUAUACAGAUACAUGUAGGUAGUAAUAUCGCCUAUAUUGAUCAGUCUUGUUAUUAACUUAUUCAUCUGAGUACCAACUUGGUUCUGGCAAACUUACUAAUUUUUCAUGUUUAUGUGCGGCUUUUACCUUGAUCAUAAACAGAAGUAUGAAUAAUCUGACCAUACUUUUUAUUUUGUUGAGAAUGAAUACUUAUCAUCAAUAUUUAUUUAUCAAAUAAUAACCUUCUAUAAUAUUUAACAAGAAGCAUGGUUACACUGACAACAUAUAGUACUACUUGCUAUAAAACUUUUUAUGUGCAGUUGUUGCCUUGGUCGUGAACAGAAGUAUGAACAAUCUGUGCGUACUUUUUCUUUUGUUGAGAAAGCAUCAAUAUUUGUGCAUCAAAUAAGAAAGUUCUAUGACAUUUAACAGAGACAUGGAUAUGCUGACAAUAUAUAGUAAUACUCACUAAAACUAUGUUUCUACUAAACUUAUCUAUCUAUGUAAACUAAGUUACUGGAUAACUGAUGAAGACAUUUUGUGCAUUGCUGAUAAAAUGUUGCAGAUUUUAUGCAAUUCCUCUUCCUACAACAGAAUUUAACAGAAUGAUCCGGAAAAAGGAUAAUGAUGGCAACUACUCUGUCAGCUCUUGCUAUAAGCUUUUAACCUUAAGCCCUCCUUCACAUAACUGUCAAUUGAACUUAUAUGGAAAUGUAUAUAGGCUCUUUACUUCUAGCCCUCCUCUCCAUAGUUAUUGGUUUUAUUUGAACAACAUUGCACAAUUAUUGUCUGACAAAAAGUUAUACCUUAUGUAAUAAAUUUUAACUUUACUCCAGUAACUCAGAAUACAUAAGUUUCUCUUUGCAUUGUCCCAUAGCUACUCAACAAUGCAAGUAUUUUAUCUAUGUUUGUAGUUAAAUGGAAUCAUGCCUGGUGAUCCAAGAGGCGCUACCAGCAGUUUUCGGAACGAAGAUAGGAACACAAGGAUGUUCGAACGCAGUACCUGCUUGAAUACUACGGGCAAGCUAGAAGAAACAAACUACUGAUGUUCUGAAGUUGCAAUAUACACACGAGAAUGCAAAUACAGAUUUGAAGAUGCAUCGGCGAUAUACACACGAGAAGGCAAAUGUCUGCACCUGUUAACUUUUUGACUAACUUACAAGAUGUAUAUAACUUACUACAUAACAUUUGGUGUUAAUUAAUAAAGUUGAUCACGUAUUCUAGGAUUCUGUUGUUGAAGCGUCGGUCGUUGGCCCGUGCAGAACAUCUAGUUUAUAUAUAUUAUAUAUUAUAUAGAAGGGAGAGGAGGAGAUCGACCAAGGGCAUUAUGGUCAUUCAAAAAUAUAACUGCAUUGUUUGCUUGUACAGUAGGCUUAAAAGCUUGGUUACAGCCUUUGGAUUCCUA
rnacentral:lncRNA from 1 species